UGGUAGUCCACGCUGUAAACGAUGUCGAUUUGAAGGUUGUUCCCUUGAGGAGUGGCUUUCGGAGCUAACGCGUUAAAUCGACCGCCUGGGGAGUACGGCCGCAAGGUUAAAACUCAAAUGAAUUGACGGGGGCCCGCACAAGCGGUGGAGCAUGUGGUUUAAUUCGAUGCAACGCGAAGAACCUUACCUACUCUUGACAUCAGAGAACUUAGCAGAGAUGCUUUGGUGCCUUCGGGAACUCUGAGACAGGUGCUGCAUGGCUGUCGUCAGCUCGUGUUGUGUAAUGUUGGGUUAAGUCCCGCAACGAGCGCAACCCUUAUCCUUUGUUGCCAGCGAUUCGGUCGGGAACUCAAAGGAGACUGCCGGUGAUAAACCGGAGGAAGGUGGGGAUGACGUCAAGUCAUCAUGGCCCUUACGAGUAGGGCUACACACGUGCUACAAUGGCGUAUACAAAGAGAAGCGACCUCGCGAGAGCAAGCGGAACUCAUAAAGUACGUCGUAGUCCGGAUUGGAGUCUGCAACUCGACUCCAUGAAGUCGGAAUCGCUAGUAAUCGUAGAUCAGAAUGCUACGGUGAAUACGUUCCCGGGCCUUGUACACACCGCCCGUCACACCAUGGGAGUGGGUUGCAAAAGAAGUAGGUAGCUUAACCUUCGGGAGGGCGCUUACCACUUUGUGAUUCAUGACUGGGGUGAAGUCGUA
rnacentral:rRNA from 1 species